rnacentral:sRNA from 1 species
GCCAGGUGCAGUGGUGCACGCUUGUAAUCCCAGCGGCUGGGGAGGCUGAGACAGGAGGAUCUCGAGUUCAAAGCCAGCCUCAGCAAUGGUGAGGUGCCAAGCAACUCAGCGAGACCCUGUCUCUA